rnacentral:rRNA from 1 species
AUUGAACGCUAGCGGGAUGCUUUACACAUGCAAGUCGAACGGCAGCGCGGACUUCGGUCUGGCGGCGAGUGGCGAACGGGUGAGUAAUGUAUCGGAACGUGCCCAGUAGCGGGGGAUAACUACGCGAAAGCGUAGCUAAUACCGCAUACGCCCUACGGGGGAAAGCAGGGGAUCGUAAGACCUUGCCCUAUUGGAGCGGCCGAUAUCGGAUUAGCUAGUUGGUGGGGUAACGGCUCACCAAGCCGACGAUCCGUGGCUGGUGUGAGAGGACGACCAGCCACACUGGGGCUGGGACACGGCCCAGACUCCUACGGGAGGCAGCAGUGGGGAAUUUUGGACAAUGGGGGCAACCCUGAUCCAGCCAUCCCGCGUGUGAGAUGAAGGCCUUCGGGUUGUAAAGAACUUUUGGCAGGAAAGAAACGUCGCGGGCUAAUACCCCGUGGAACUGACGGUACCUGCAGAAUAAGCACCGGCUAACUACGUG